rnacentral:rRNA from 1 species
UGUGUAACCUGCCCUUAACUCUGGGAUAAGCCUGGGAAACUGGGUCUAAUACCGGAUAUGACUCCUCAUCGCAUGGUGGGGGGUGGAAAGCUUUAUUGUGGUUUUGGAUGGACUCGCGGCCUAUCAGCUUGUUGGUGAGGUAAUGGCUCACCAAGGCGACGACGGGUAGCCGGCCUGAGAGGAUGGGCAAACCCACAGUUUGGGACUGAGACACGGCCCAGACUCCGUACGGGAGCAG